rnacentral:rRNA from 1 species
ACACAUGCAAGUCGAACGGUAACAGGGAUAGCAAUAUCUGCUGACGAGUGGCGCACGGGUGAGUAACACGUUUGCGACCUACCUUUGACUGGGGUAUAGCCCGGAGAAAUUCGGAUUAAUACCCCAUAAUAUCCUGAAAACGCAUGUUUUUGGGAUUAAAGCUUCGGCGGUCAAAGAUGGGCAUGCGUACCAUUAGCUUGUUGGUGAGGUAAAGGCUCACCAAGGCAACGAUGGUUAGGGGGUCUGAGAGGAUGAUCCCCCACACUGGUACUGAGACACGGACCAGACUCCUACGGGAGGCAGCAGUGAGGAAUAUUGGGCAAUGGACGCAAGUCUGACCCAGCCAUGCCGCGUGCAGGAUGAAUGCCCUAUGGGUUGUAAACUGCUUUUGUAUGGGAAGAAACCCCCGGACGUGUUCGGGGUUGACGGUACCAUGCGAAUAAGCAUCGGCUAACUCCGUGCCAGCAGCCGCGGUAAUACGGAGGAUGCAAGCGUUAUCCGGAUUUAUUGGGUUUAAAGGGUGCGUAGGCGGAAAACUAAGUCAGUAAUGAAAUCCUACAGCUUAACUGUAGAACUGUUAUUGAUACUGGUUUUCUUGAAUACAGUUGAGGCAGGCGGAAUGUGUAAUGUAGCGUGAGAUGCUUAGAUAUUACACAGAACACCGAUUGCGAAGGCAGCUUGCUAAACUGUGAUUGACGCUGAGGCACGAAAGCGUGGGUAGCAAACAGGAUUAGAUACCCUGGUAGUCCACACUGUAAACGAUGAUCACUCGCUGUUGGCGAUAUAUUGUCAGCGGCUGAGCGAAAGCAUUAAGUGAUCCACCUGGGGAGUACGGUCGCAAGAUUGAAACUCAAAGGAAUUGACGGGGGCCCGCACAAGCGGAGGAACAUGUGGUUUAAUUCGAUGAUACGCGAGGAACCUUACCUGGGCUUGAAUGCAGGUUGACAGACCGGGAAACUGGUCCUUCUUCGGACAACUUGCAAGGUGCUGCAUGGUUGUCGUCAGCUCGUGCCGUGAGGUGUCGGGUUAAGUCCCAUAACGAGCGCAACCCCUAUCGUUAGUUGCCAGCGGGUAAUGCCGGGGACUCUAACGAAACUGCCGGUGUAAACCGUGAGGAAGGUGGGGAUGACGUCAAAUCAGCACGGCCCUUAUGUCCAGGGCGACACACGUGUUACAAUGGCCGGUACAAAGGGCAGCUACCUGGUGACAGGAUGCUAAUCUCUAAAACCGGUCUCAGUUCAGAUCGAAGUCUGCAACUCGACUUCGUGAAGCUGGAUUCGCUAGUAAUCGCGCAUCAGCCAUGGCGCGGUGAAUAGGUUCCCGGGCCUUGUACACACCGCCCGUCAAGCCAUGGAAGCCGGGGGGACCUAAAGUCCGUAACCGCAAGGAGCGGCCUAGGGUAAAACCGGUGACUGGGGCUAAGUCGUAACAAGGUA